GGAGAUAAAAAAAAAAGAAAACAUUGUUUUAAGUCCAAACCUGUUAGACCAAAAAAAAAAGAAAACUGACUAUAAAAACUAUAAAACGUCAACUCUCAAGGCCUGAACUUCAACCUUGCCAACACACACAAAAGUAAUUUUUGUCUGUGACAGAGGUCAAUUAGCUGGCCAUUUUUCUUUUUAUCUUCAAUCAAAGUUUGAAGUGGCUCUGUCUUGCAAAUUUCCCUGCAUUUCUCUGCAAAUUGUGACAGUUUUUGCCCUCUAUGAACAUUUUCACGCAAGUUCUUGUAGGCUUCAGUGUCACACGCCUCCAGCUCCGCUAUUGCUGCAGUGUCAACAAUGGUUUUUCUGUCAAUCCCACAGUUGCGGUAAGCCAGGGUUUUGGUGACUCCCUUAUCGAUGUACUGCAGGACCUUUUUAUACCUCUGGAUAACAUGCUCUGGUAGAAACACUGGGAGAGAACAAAGGUUUUUGAACAACAAAAAAAUGGCACUUGGAACGAAAGUUGUUUCACUUUGUGCGCAAACCAGCAGUUAGUCGAAUGGCUACAAAAACAUAGACUCAUCAAGUCAAGGAUGAAAUGCAGACUGUGUAAAAAAAAAAAUGAAAUUCCAGAAGACACAAACAGGCGAUGGAUUCCAAUGGAAAUGUAGAAGACGAACACAUAGUAAAGUGAAAAAGACAUGCAGGGCGGGAUCAGUUUUUGAGAAAAGCAAGGUGACCUUACAAAACUGGAUGAAGUUCAUAUACCGUAUGGACGUGGGAGAGUAGGUGGAAGAUGGAAAAGGAAAAAGUGGGUGUUCGGCAUGCUGGCCAUUAAAGCUCAAAGACGACGACCGAUUUUGCGACUCGUAGAACGCCGUUCAAGAAAUCAUCUCAUUAUCAGAAGACAUGUUCGCCCAGGAUCCACAAUGUUAAGUGAUGAGUGGAGACACUACAGGGCUUUGACAGGGAUGGGCUACUCUCACUACUCUGUGAAUCACAGCAGGUUCUUUGUUAACCCAAAUCAUGGAGGACACACACAACAUCUUGAAAGGGCAUGGUCUACAUACAAAAGUCAGAUCUGGAGAUUGAGAGGCAACAAGACCGAGAAGCUCUUGAAGGAACACCUGGCCUGUAUUGAAUGGACUCAUUGGAUGGGGAUGGAGCACAGAUAUGGUCCUCUGGGGCGUUUGAUGAAGGAUAUUAGAAAGUAUUACUGCAUUUAAGACAUUACAUUGGAUAAUGUUAUUCAAACAUUGUUCAGUAAAGUAAUUUGAGGACAUAAAGCUAAUACAUUUUUUUAAACAGCC
ensembl:lncRNA